GAUUUUUUUCCAAUUUUUUGGAGGUGGAGAUUAUUGAGUUCAUGUACGCACCAAGGCAAAGUUAAGGCAGUGGAUGAGGUUGUGAAAGCUAUGGUGGUGGAUCAUAAUAUGGCGGUGGUGUUGCAGUGAGUGCAGUGGAGUUUGUGGUGGUCAUCGAUGAUGUGGUGAUGGAUACGAAGGAGGAAGCGGCGGAAGAGAGCAAAUCGAUAAAAAGUACUGAGUCACCCGGCCACAGAG